rnacentral:rRNA from 1 species
AUUGAACGCUGGCGGCAUGCCUUACACAUGCAAGUCGAACGGCAGCACGGGGCAACCUGGUGGCGAGUGGCGAACGGGUGAGUAAUGCAUCGGAAUGUACCUUUCAGUGGGGGAUAACGUAGCGAAAGUUACGCUAAUACCGCAUAUUCUGUGAGCAGGAAAGCAGGGGAUCGCAAGACCUUGUGCUGAUUGAGCGGCCGAUGUCAGAUUAGCUAGUUGGUGAGGUAAAGGCUCGCCAAGGCGACGAUCUGUAGCGGGUCUGAGAGGAUGAUCCGCCACACUGGAACUGAGACACGGUCCAGACUCCUACGGGAGGCAGCAGUGGGGAAUUUUGGACAAUGGGGGCAACCCUGAUCCAGCCAUGCCGCGUGAGUGAAGAAGGCCUUCGGGUUGUAAAGCUCUUUCGGCCGGGAAGAAAUCGCACGGGCUAAUACCCUGUGUGGAUGACGGUACCGGAAUAAGAAGCACCGGCUAACUACGUGCCAGCCGCCGCCGUAAGAC